rnacentral:rRNA from 1 species
GAUGAACGCUGGCGGCGUGCCUAAUACAUGCAAGUCGAGCGAACGGACGAGAAGCUUGCUUCUCUGAUGUUAGCGGCGGACGGGUGAGUAACACGUGGAUAACCUACCUAUAAGACUGGGAUAACUUCGGGAAACCGGAGCUAAUACCGGAUAAUAUUUUGAACCGCAUGGUUCAAAAGUAAAAGACGGUCUUGCUGUCACUUAUAGAUGGAUCCGCGCUGCAUUAGCUAGUUGGUAAGGUAACGGCUUACCAAGGCAACGAUGCAUAGCCGACCUGAGAGAGGGAUCGGCCACACUGGAACUUAGACACGGUCCAGACUCCUACGGGAGGCAGCAGUAGGGAAUCGUCCGCAAUGGGCGAAAGCCUGACGGAGCAACGCCGCGUGAGUGAUGAAGGUCUUCGGAUCGUAAAACUCUGUUAUUAGGGAAGAACAUAUGUGUAAGUAACUGUGCACAUCUUGACGGUACCUAAUCAGAAAGCCACGGCUAACUACGUG